rnacentral:tRNA from 1 species
AGGCUCGUAGCUCAGGGGUAGAGCACUACCUUGACACGGUAGGGGUCUGCGGUUCAAAUCCGCACGAGCCUACCA